rnacentral:lncRNA from 1 species
GAAGGAGGAAGAAGAAAGAAGAAGAAGAAAAGGAAGAAGGAAAAGAAAAACAAUAAGGGAGGGGGAAAAGAGAAAGAAAAGAGGGAGACCGGUGGCGUUCGCGGCAUGCGGUCGGAGCACGCGCGCGGCGUCUGAUGACGGCACGCGGCGGAAAUUACGGGCACGGAUAAAAUGAUGGCUGUCGGCUUGAGUGCUGAAACGGCGAAAUCACCGGGAAGAUUUUAGAAUUCCGGGAGCUCAGCGGUAAAAAGAUUUUGAAAGCGAUUUUUAAUGGUGAUUUUAGUUGGUGAUUUCUGCGGAUGUUACAGUUGAGGCUUGGUUGAUAGCCUUAUAUUGCAAGAUUGCUUGAAGUUAAAGAUGAAUGUCAUAAUAAGGAAUAGUAUGUGGAUCCCAUGAUGGCUAUGUGUGAUAUGUGAC